rnacentral:rRNA from 1 species
UACAGAGGGUGCAAGCGUUGUUCGGAUUUACUGGGCGUAAAGCGUACGCAGACGGCUUGGUAGGUCGGAUGUGAAAGCCCCGGGCUCAACCCGGGAAUUGCAUCCGAAACCACCUCGCUCGAGUGUGGGAGAGGGAAGCGGAAUUCCUGGUGUAGAGGUGAAAUUCGUAGAUAUCUGGAGGAACACCGGUGGCGAAGGCGGCAUUCUGGACUGUAACUGACACUGAUGAACGAAAGCCAGGGGAGCAAACGGG